rnacentral:lncRNA from 1 species
UGAGGCCAAAUGACUCCUUAUAUAGGAGAUCAAUAACAGAAACCGGAAAGACGCAACUGUUCAGAAACGGUUACGUCGGUUGGGAAAGGAUUCAACUGUUCAAAAGAAAAUUUCGAACGGGGCGCUGCCCCGCACCUCACCAGGGGCUUCGCCCCUUGGAACCCCGUUUCAAUUAUUCACAUUCAAUUAUACGUUGGCUCGACGAGCGUGCACUCCGCACUACCCCUAACUCGUUU